AAGAACAACCACAAGACACAAUCGGUGGUGGUGACUUCCUAAGAAGAAGAUCAAUAUGAAGAUGAAGAAGUAAGCGAUACUUAUUCCUCUGAAGAAGAAUCUGAUGAUGAAAAACUAAGCUAUUCUUUUUCUUCUGAAGAACAAAAACACUUUGUAGAGAGAAAAAGAGGGAUACAAUCACCAAGAAAUAUCAACCUAAUCGAAAUAACAGAUUACCAACCACAAGAAGAUUUGCAAGAGGCCGGCGAACUGACGGAGAAAAAGACACAGGAAAAACAAAGACCGAAGGGGGCUUGGGCGACGGGACAUUGUUACUGAAUUCUCAUAUUCUGUUGGAAAAUGAAGCCAAAUACUCAUUCUGAAGAAGAAGAAAUAAGGAACAACCACAAGACACAAUCGGUGGUGGUGCCUUCCAAACAAGAAGAUCAAUAUGAAGAUGAAGAAGUAAGCGAUACUUAUUCCUCUGAAGAAGAAUCUGAGGAUGAAAAAGUAAGCUAUUCUUUUUCUUCUGAAGAACAAAAACACUUUGUAGAGAGAAAAAGUGGGAUACAAUUACCAAGAAAUAUCAACCUAAUCGAAAUAACCGAUUACCAACCACAAGAAGAUUUGCAAGAGGCCGGCGAACUGACUGAGAAAAAGACACUAGAAAAACAAAGACCGAAGGGGGCGUAGGCGACGGGACAUUGUUACUGAAUUCUCAUAUCCUGUUGGAAAAUGAAGUCAAAUACUCAUUCUGAAGAAGAAGAAAUAAAGAAGAACCACAAGACACAAUCGGUGGUGGUGCCUUCCAAAGAAGAAGAUCAAUAUGAAGAUGAAGAAGUAAACAAUACUUAUUCCUCUGAAGAAGAAUCUGAUGAUGAAAAAGUGAGCUAUUCUUUUUCUUCUAAAGAACAAAAACACUUUGUAGAGAGAAAAAGUGGGAUACAAUCACCAAGAGAUAUCAACCUAAUCGAAAUAACAGAUUACCAACCACAAGUAGAUUUGCAAGAGGCCGGCGAACUGACGGAGAAAAAGACACCGGAAAAA